rnacentral:rRNA from 1 species
CUGCGAACGGCUCAUUAAAUCAGUUAUCGUUUAUUUGAUAGUGCCUUACUACAUGGAUAACCGUGGUAAUUCUAGAGCUAAUACAUGCUGAAGGCCCCGACUUCGGGAGGGGUGUGUUUAUUAGAUAAAAAACCAACGCCCUUCGGGGCUCCUUGGUGAGUCAUGAUAACCUGACGGAUCGCAUGGCCCUGCGCCGGCGAUGGUUCAUUCAAAUUUCUGCCCUAUCAACUUUCGAUGGUAGGAUCGAGGCCUACCAUGGUAUCAACGGGUAACGGGGAAUUAGGGUUCUAUUUCCGGAGACUGGGCCUGAUAAACCGCCCAGACAUCCAAGGAAGGCAGCAGGCGCGCAAAUUACCCAAUCCCGACACGGGGAGGUAGUGACAAUAAAUACUGAUACAGGGCUCUUUUGGGUCUUGUAAUUGGAAUGAGUACAAUCUAAACCCCUUAACGAGGAACAAUUGGAGGGCAAGUCUGGUGCCAGCAGCCGCGGUAAUUCCAGCUCCAAUAGCGUAUAUUAAAGUUGUUGCAGUUAAAAAGCUCGUAGUUGAACCUUGGGCCUGGCUGGCCGGUCCGCCUCACCGCGUGCACUGGUUCGGCCGGGCCUUUCCUCCGGGGGAGCCCCAUGCCCUUCGCUGGGCGUGUGGGGGACCCCGGACGUUUACUUUGAAAAAAUUAGAGUGUUCAAAGCAGGCCUUCGCUCGAAUACAUUAGCAUGGAAUAAUGGAAUAGGACGGCGGUCCUAUUUUGUUGGUUUCUAGAACCGCCGUAAUGAUUAAUAGGGAUAGUCGGGGGCGUCCGUAUUCAAUUGUCAGAGGUGAAAUUCUUGGAUUCAUUGAAGACGAACUACUGCGAAAGCAUUCGCCAAGGAUGUUUUCAUUAAUCAGGAACGAAAGUUAGGGGAUCGAAGACGAUCAGAUACCGUCGUAGUCUUAACCGUAAACCAUGCCGACUAGGGAUCGGGCGAUGUUAUUUGGUUGACUCGCCCGGCACCUUACGAGAAAUC